GCAGCCAGCAGACUUUGCCCUCCUUGCCCAGGGCAGAAUCCACCCCCAGUAUCUUCUUGGAAGGGCUCCAGCACCUCCCAGCCAUUCUCCCUCUCAUUGCAGCAGGAGCUUUGUAGACUUCUGGUCCCUUCAUUUCUCGCUCUGUGGACGGCUGACCACUUCCUUGUGGGUAAUUAUAAAGAAUUGCACUUCAUCGCUCCUCAGCCUUGGUAAGACAAAUCACAGCCCGGAUCUUUCUGUUGUAUUAUUCAGUGGUAGGUUGUUCAUUUGCCCCGCCACUUGUUCUGUUCCGCCUUUUGAUAAAUAUUCACGACAUAUCUUUGGGCAAAGAACUGCAAGGAAGAGGUAGGACCAUUUCUGCUUUCACAGGUUUGUGUUCCUGGGAUUUAAAUGGAGGAGUGACCAGCUGGAGCUGGUAAACUAAUUCAUGCUGAAGAGUGCAUGGCAGAACUUAUACUCCAGCAUGGAGCAAGUCAUGAGAUAUGUUGGUCUGUGUCCUCAUGAACAUGGCCUAGGAAUCUGGAUAUGACUUCAGGAGAGUCGAUAAUAGUGAUGUGAGUGUGCAAAUAAGGGGUACUGACUACUAGGUGACCUCACAGGUUACAGGGAAGCUAAGGUUUGGCCUGACCAAGAAGGACGAGUUAAGCAAAGCAAUGCCUUGUUAGGCCAAUGUCACCACAGGGCAGAAAUGGCAGAGGAAGGGAACAUAGCAACUAUGAGGUUCAGGGAGAGGACAGGAAACAGUUCAGCUCACUCAAAUACACCUAUGAACAUACAACACAUCCAUGUCAACACACAUGCACACACGCCCAUAGUCAUGUAGACACGCAAACACCACAAACACGUGUGAGCACAAGGGAGUGCUGGUUGGACAAUACAUCUCUGAAAUCUUAGUGUUAAAGAGCAAAGGAGAAAGUUAUCCUGCCAUGGCCCAUACUACCCAGGAAGCAUUCGGCCUGGCAGGAGGGUCAUCUUGUAGUAUUCACAGGGGGCAGCACUCCACUUCCAUGAGCCUGUCCUCAUUCCAUUGCUUGGUUUAGACUUGGGUCCUGGCAGUGACCUUCAAAGUGAACUUAGAGGACCUCGUCCACAUCCACCUCUGAGCUGCAACAUCUGAAGAAUCGAGAUCUCCUGGAAGUCAAGUCCAAGAUAGUGCCACAAUGGCAGACUAAGAAAAUGAUUCCACCUGUGUCUAUCUUCACGGUCCAGAGAGUUUACCAGAGCUACGGAAGCAUGAGUGGGGGCUACUUAGAAGAGCAAGGGUAAAUAUACACUUUUAGGAGCACACAUUACAUAUAGCUGGACACACCACUGACCCUACCUCAACAUCACUUAGCUGUUUAUAUAUCCUGAGGAGGGGGGGGGGUUCUGCUGCCUCGCCAGCCCCUUACACUCUUCAUGACAGAUCACUAAUGGCCUCAAACUUGAGGGUCUCCUGGGGGUAAUCACAGCUGCUCUGAUUUCCAGAUGGCAGUGUCUGGUCAUGUCAUGUUUCAAGGACCGAGUUCCACAACACUUGGUGAACUCGGUUGGUUCGUGAGAUGGGCACUGUUGAUAGGCACUUUACAUGGGAGGCCCCAUUCUCUCCAUCAAUAAUUCUUGGGUUACCCUCAGCAGCAACAACAAGCAUAGUGAGAGGAAAAAAUGUGCAUCAACAUGGAAGGCACACAAAUAGCACCCAAACUAAAUACUCUAGUUUGCUUUGCAACAUUUUAUAUAAAGGCACUUAUGCCAUUUUUUUCUUUCACAAAUACUAACUAUUUUAUUAGAGAUUGAAUUUGCUUUCCAGUUUGAAGAAUCAAAGGCUAUCUUAGCUUAAAAUAGCUUCUCAGAACACAAACAUUUAAUUCAGUGAAAAAUUCUGCCUCCUUUAGCUAAAACAGGCUACAUAGCCGAAUGUCCUUUGUGCUGCCAAGAGGUCGUAGGAGGUUUUUCUGUUGAUCCUUUUGCAAAGCAUAAAUGUUCCUUUGUGCAAAAGGAGGUUGCCCCGAGUGUGAGUUGCUAGGAAGCAGGAUGAUAACCACAUUCCUGUGGAGCUGACACUUAAUGCUUCCUGACUUCAGUGUGUGGGCUAGCAGGCCAUGCACAGGUAAUAAGGACAAGAGCAGUCCCCUCUGCCCCAUUCACUAGUAAAGAUGAACAUAAAGAAGAAUGCUUGCCGAGCAAGGCCUCAUCAUGUGCCUUGAUGAAGUGGCCCUGGCAAAACUGAAACCAGUACAGUUGUUGAGCUUUGUAGAGGCACAGGGAGCAAAGCUGGAACUCAGUAUCAGAGCCACAAAGGCCCCAACGUGAAGGCGCAGGGAAACCAGGAGAUAUUACAUGGCAGCAGAGGGAUCUGUGUAUUAGUACACUUCCCAGUAUCCCAAUCAGAUAUCCUCCUUCACUGAAGUCGAUACAGGGAAUGUCACAUCUAUAACACUAUCUUAUUGUGACUCCCAGGCAAGAGGAAAAGAGAGCACCAAUCUGUAACUGCAAAAAAUGGGGCAGUAAAUAUAUGAUCCCCAUCUCCCUGUCAAGAAUGGGUUCAUUUUUAAUUAUGUGCAUGAGUGUGUAUCUCUGUGUGAGGAUGCACACAUGAUUGCAUGUACUCAUAGAGGAAAGAAGAGGAAGUCAGACCCACUUGGAGCUAGAGUUCCAGGUGGUUGUGACGGGUGCCAGGAAAUUAACUCCAGUCUUCUAAGAAGACAGCAUGUGCUCUGUCCAAUUUGGCUUCCUAUUACUAUGAUAAAACACUGUGGCCCAAAGUAACUUGGGAGUAAAGGAUUUGGUUUUUUGUAUACCUCCCCAUCACAGUGCAUCAUUGAGGGAAGCCAGGGCAGCAACUUGAGGCAGAAAUCUGGAGGCAGGAACCAAGACAAAGACGCCAUGGAAGAGAGCUGCUCACUGCCUGGCUCCCUCUGGCUUGCUCAUUCUGCUUUCUUAUACCACUCAGGACCACCACUGCCCAGGGAUGGCACCACUCACAACUAGGUUGGACCUUCCCACAUCAAUCACUAAUUAAGAAAAUGCCCCAUAGACUUACUUUUAGCCAAUCUGAUGUAGAUAAUUCUCAUCGAAGAUCCCCUCUUUCUUGUGUCAAUUUUAGCUAGUUUUGAGCUGAAUAAAUAAAU
rnacentral:lncRNA from 1 species